rnacentral:tRNA from 1 species
GGUACAUGAGCUCAGCUGGUCAGUGCAUGGUGCUAAUAACGCCAGGGUUGUGGGUUUGAUCCCCAUAUGCACCG